UUGCCAGACUCCUACGGGAGGCAGCAGUGGGGAAUAUUGGACAAUGGGGGGAACCCUGAUCCAGCGACGCCGCGUGAGUGAAGAAGUAUUUCGGUAUGUAAAGCUCUAUCGGCAGGGAAGAAAGGAAUGACGGUACCUGACUAAGAAGCCCCGGCUAACUCCGUGCCAGCAGCCGCGGUAAUACGGAGGAUGCGAGCGUUAUCCGGAUUUAUUGGGUUUAAAGGGUGCGCAGGCGGCACGGCAAGCCGGCGGUCAAAUCGCGGGGCUCAACCCCGCCCAGCCGUCGGAACUGCCGGGCUAGAGUGGGCGAGAAGUGCGCGGAAUGCGUGGUGUAGCGGUGAAAUGCAUAGAUAUCACGCAGAACUCCGAUUGCGAAGGCAGCGUACCGGCUCCACACUGACGCUGAGGCACGAAAGCGUGGGUAUCGAACAGGAUUAGAUACCCCAGUAC
rnacentral:rRNA from 1 species